rnacentral:rRNA from 1 species
UACAGAGGUGGCGAGCGUUAUUCGGAAUUAUUGGGCGUAAAGGGCGCGUAGGCGGCUUGACAAGUCCCGGGUGAAAUCCCUCGGCUCAACCGAGGAACUGCCUUGGAAACUGUCUGGCUUGAGGCCGGGAGAGGGUAGUGGAAUUCCCAGUGUAGCGGUGAAAUGCGUAGAUAUCGUAAGGAAGACCAGUGGCGAAGGCGGGUCUCUGGACAGUUCCUGACGCUGAGGCACGAAGGUCAGGGGAGCAAACGGG